GGGAGUCUGAAAAGACUGCACUAUAUCCGGUCCUGCACUAUAAGCGGUUACGUUAUAAGUGGUCUAUACUGUAAUUACUGACUGUGGCGUUAUUUUUUUAAUGAGGGUGAAAAUGUUGGCAUGCAUUUAAAAAACAUUAGGUGGGGAAGUUUAUGUCGUCCUCCACUUUAGCUUACCGUAUAGUUAAUGUGUUGCAUUGCAACAUUCAAUAAUUGGUAUUUCUGGAAAGGCACUGAAUGGAGGCGUCACUCUUAGAGAGCUUAGUAACAUCUUAUGAAUUGCCUUGGGGAUGCACUUAUCAGUAUAGCUUUGUGUUUUUGUAGUAAAAAUGUUUACUCUAGUGUGGGUAUCGACCUAGAUUAUGGCUUCAUGGGUAACCAGGUGUGGUUUCGUUGCUCGAAACACCAAGCUUUCUGCACUACAGGGGAAAAAGCUCAGUGCCAGGCAUUCCUAGUAAUCUACUGAGAAGCUUGAUCAAGUAUUUGACCUUUGUGAUUUGGCUGAAGCCAUGUCACAGAUCUAAAUAAGCUGGAGGAUAGAAGCCAAUAAUGUUAAUAUGUUAAAUGGUGAUGG
rnacentral:lncRNA from 1 species